rnacentral:lncRNA from 1 species
AUGGGUAUACUUGCCAUUAAUUUUUUUCAGUGCCUGCAUUCAUUGUACCUAAGUGACUGAGGCACACAUUGAAGUAAGCUGGAAAGAAGGCUCCUCUACAAGCUGCUAUUUCGAUUUUCAGUAAAACAGGCGAUGGAUCCUAACAAUCGCGAAAAGUGCGAAAGAGAGGUUGUAUCUUUGCACAUAGUUGUUCACAGCUGAAAGCAGAAACUAUAGUGCUGCAUUUCCAACUGAAUAACAGUUGACGAAAUGUGAGGUGAUGGAGUCCCAGCAGAAUAUUCAGCAUACCGAGGACUUACUUGAACAAGUUUCCUGUCAAGCUUUCCAAUACACUGCAGCCAGCAUGGCAGUAUGCUUGUUCAUGCACCACACGAGCAUGUCUGCACAAAUGGUAGCUGUCCAUGCACAAGCUAACACUGCUGGUUCAAUACAUUAAAUCGAACAUUGGCCGAAGCUUUUGUGAGGUUGUCUUUUUAGCACUAGCUGAUUGUUUUCUUUCCUAUAUCUUGCAGCAAUCGACACAAGAGAAUUUAAUGAGCCCUAUAUGACAUUUGAGCUUAUAUUGAACAAAAAACAUUCUGUUCAAUCUUGGACAUUUCUACAUCUCUAACAAUUACUUAAGACCAAUUGACAAACAAAAUGCUUUGCAUUUAAUUAUCAAUGGGUCCAAAUUUCAUGUGCGUUAACAGUGCUAGUAAAAGCUGUCACAUGUGUCCCAGCCUUGUAUGUUGUGCCCGUUUAAUAAAGAAAUAAUUUCCUGUGUAUGUAA